AUUGAACGCUGGCGGCAGGCCUAACACAUGCAAGUCGAACGAGUUGCGGACGGGUGUGUUAUGUCUGGGAAACUGCCUGAUGGAGGGGGAUAACUACUGGAAACGGUAUCUAAUACCGUAUACCAUCAGAUGUGCCCAGAGGGGAUUAGCUAGGGGGUGGGGUAACGGCUCACCAAGGCGACGAUCCCUAGCUGGUCUGAGAGGAUGACCAGCAACACUGGAACGGAGACACGGUCCAGACUCCUACGGGAGGCAGCAGUGGGGAAUAUUGCACAAUGGGCGCAAGCCUGAUGCAGCCAUGCCGCGUGUAUGAAGAAGGCCUUCGGGUUGUAAAGUACUUUCAGCGGGGAGGCGUUACCCGCAGAAGAAGCACCGGCUAACUCCGUGCCAGCAGCCGCGGUAAUUC
rnacentral:rRNA from 1 species